UACAGAGGUCCCAAGCGUUGUUCGGAUUCAUUGGGCGUAAAGGGUGCGUAGGCGGCGCGGUAAGUCGGGUGUGAAAUCUCGGGGCUUAACUCCGAAACUGCAUUCGAUACUACCGUGCUUGAGGACUGGAGAGGAGACUGGAAUUUACGGUGUAGCGGUGAAAUGCGUAGAUAUCGGAAGGAAGACCAGUGGCGAAGGCGGGUCUCUGGACAGUUCCUGACGCUGAGGCACGAAGGCCAGGGGAGCAAACGGG
rnacentral:rRNA from 1 species